AGCCUCUCGGGGUCACACCUGGAGAGUUCCCAAUACUCUGCUGGUCUCGACUUCAGGAGGGAGAGCCAGGCAGUAGCAUAUCCAUUCCAUUCCUUGCUUGGGCAGUGGCUAGCGAGUGGAAGCCAAUCUGCUACAAGU